rnacentral:lncRNA from 1 species
AGGUGCCAGGAUCCCACACAGUUGUGCUUAUUCAUUUCCUGGCUACUGCCCAAUUUGUUGGUUUUUUAUUUUUUUUAAUUUUUUUUAAUUUUUUUUUCCAACGUUUAUUUAUUUUUGGGACAGAGAGAGACAGAGCAUGAACGGGCGAGAGGCAGAGAGAGAGGGAGACACAGAAUCGGAAACAGGCUCCAGGCUCUGAGCCAUCAGCCCAGAGCCCGACGCGGGGCUCGAACUCACGGACCGCGAGAUCGUGACCUGGCUGAAGUCGGACGCUUAACCGACUGCGCCACCCAGGCGCCCCUGUUGGUUUUUGAAUCAUGGAGAAUGUUGACCCCUAGGAGCACCUCUCUCAACGAGAACUAUCUCACGUAUCAUGACUACUUCAAGAUGCAGGAGAUUUGUACAGUCUCUCCAGAGGUGGCCUAUAGAGCCAAACAACCAAGUUGUGAAACUGGCCAGUUCAAGUAUACAGCCCCUUGUCAUCGCUGUCCCUCUUUCCUUGCCUCACUUCCCCAUUGUUCUCAUGCUUGUUUCUCUGAAAUCACACCUCCCCAUUGAUUGUUAGCACACACACAUUUUUUUCAGGCUCUGUUUUCUAGGGAGUUGGUAUAAUUGGUGACAGGAAUGGCACUAGUAACUGGAACUUUGGGGCUAGGUUUUGGUGUUGGGUUGUUUUCCAUUCUGAAAGUAAUAGAAACCAUAUUGCUGUUGGCAAAGGGAUGAUAACAAUCCCUGAUAUUCGGUGACAUCAUGAUGGCAUAGGUGUCAAAAACACGUAAUGGGAGAUCAAUGGCUGCUACGAGUGACUGACCAGUUUGAUGCAAUAUUAGUGUAAUUUGUGUCUGAUAGCAGUGAACGUCUGGAAAAGACUGACAGGUGAAUGACAACAGAUUGUCAACUUAAAGGCAGAUAGUGAAAGCCAGAGGGCUUUUAUGACAGCAUUAAAGGAGACUCUCAUCUUCCUGUAGUCUUAGACUAUACACUUCGUGCACUGCUAGACCCUAACAGAGACUAAGCAACUGAAUGUGAGGCACCAAGUGGCUUUGGGCAAGAGAACCCACAGAUGAUCUGAUUGAUAUCAAAUCAACUGAGUCACAUGUUUUGCAGUAGUAGAAGAAGAAAACUCUGUUGAAAAGUAAAAAUGGUAAAUGAGGAGUCAGGUUCAAGUCUUUCCAGAUGGCAUAAAAAAAAUGAGAUGGGUCAGUGUUAUGGAUUCCCCUGUCCCCUACUUCUCUUGCUCCCUGAACACACAAUGACCCCUAGGACAUUCAUAAUGCUCAG